UUCACAUGCAAAUACUGGGAAAUCUUUUCAGCCUUAAAUUUAGAUGCCAGUGAUAAGAAUAACCAAAUGCAGAAGUGAAUGAUAAUAAUAAAUGAGGAGGGGGUAAAUAAAUAUGUUCAGUAUGUAAUUAAUUAUAUUUUGCUAAGCCAUUAUGUCCACUGUAAGGAAAUAAGGCUGAAGAGAAGAGCCAGGAAAAAGGUUAGGAUUUGAAAUGGAGGAAGGGACUUGAUGUAAAAAGGUCCUAAGAUGAGGUUUAUGAUCUUUUCUCCUCUUUUUAUUCCUCAUCGUAUUAGUUACUGUUGGAAUAGAAGCCCUUGAAGUUUGUUCUACUCGUUGGCUUCUCCUGGAGCAAUUUUGCUUUUGCUUUUAUUGGUCUGGUUGAACUCAGUGGUAGAAAAAUGUGGAUAGUGGGAGAGUCACUAUUCUCUUAAACCAGUAAGCCAGCAGCACCAGGUACAAAAUUAUAAAGUUCUUGUAUAAUUUAGCAAAAAGAAAUAGGACAUGGACAUUCAUUGAACAAAGACUACUAAGGAUUAUCAGAGAUUAUUUUCUCUGAUAAGAGAAAAAUAUAAGCAUGAAGAAUUCAGAGAAGAAUCUUAAGUGUAACCAUUUACUGAGAAAGGCAGGGCUGUCUGCUUUUGAUCCUUAAAAGAGUGUUGCCAUACAGUUUCUUGAAACACAAAGCUUGAAAGGGUCCUACAAGAGUGUUAGAGCUAACAACAACUUUUAACCAACUAAAGCAAAGCAAGAGAUGUUAACAAAAUAAAUAAAAAAUAGCAUAUAAAAUAUAUCAAAAAACAGCACAGAAAACAGUUUUAUAACAUAUUGAUACUAAAUACACAGAUUUUGUCCCUUUAUAAAACCAUUUCCUCUUUUGUUUUUUAUUUUUUGCAUUAAUGAUGUUAAACAUUAUAGAAAAGAAUGGUUUGCUCAGAUAUUCAUUCCUGACUCCAUAAGUAGAGUAUGUUUACCAAAAGAAACAAUCCAAAUGUGCACAAAAAGUAUAUUAAACAAAACCAGGUAUCUCUCUUUUAACUGUUAUUUAUUUUGUUUAUAGCACAGCUGCUCUCCUAAUCUCUUUGUACAAAGUGUAUUUGUAGAGACUCACAACAGAAACUUCCCCUGGGUGGCAUUCUUCACAAAGAGACAUGUAAAAGCUGGAACUGAACUUACAUGGGAUUAUGGUUAUAAAGCUGGAAGUAUGCCUGAGACAGAGACUACCUGCCAGUGUGAGAGUCUGAAGUGUCGGAAAAAAAUCUUGUAGAGAUUUUGUAUGUAUUAAUCUAGAACCUGGUGAAAUGGGCAGCAUACAAAUAAUGUACUUUUUUUAAAAAAAGGAUUGAUACACACCUUUUUGGAUGGAAGCAUCUCUGCCCUAUCUACAUUGAUUAAUGGAAGCAAUUCAUUCCAGUUUAGGGCUGAUUUCAGUCACUACUUUGAGUUUUGAACAGCUUCCUUGGAUUUCAGUUUUUAGUGAUUUGAGAUAGUUACAAAGAUAUUUUUUGGAUCUCAAGUUUACCAACCAACAAGGAAUUGGUAAACCAGAUACAGUGGUUCCUCAAGGUCAGGUGUAAGAUCUGCUGCUGAGAAUUUCCACUAUACUAUACACAGUAUUGAGUCAAAUGUAUGAAGUACUGAGUCAUAUGGACAAACAUACUAAUAUAGUAACAGGCAGCUAGCUUCCUAUAGUCGUAUUUGUAAAGAUGGGUUUUUUUUAGCAAACCAUUGGCUAUUGCAUGAAAAUAUGGUAUUAAUAAAAAUAUCCAAUCAAAAAAGAUUGACAGGUAUGUACUAGCAGCACACACAUGUGAAUUAUAAUCAUAUCCUACAAUAAAGCUUUGCCCCUUCCACCCAAAUUCCUAUGGACCCUCAUAAGCAAGAAGACUAGACUUGGCUUGGAGUGGCACACUUAAAAUUGAGAAAAGGUUGGUACAAAGAACUGGUCCUAAAAGACAAUAGCUGAAAUGUACUCAUUGUACUUAAUUAACUAUAUAUAUAUUAUUUUAAUAUGGCAUAUUGGUCUGUAUUUAAUCAUCUUCUUUGUUGUAUAUUAAACUUUACCAUUCCGUACCA